rnacentral:rRNA from 1 species
UACAGGGGGGGCAAGCGUUAUUCGGAAUUAUUGGGCGUAAAGGGCGCGUAGGCGGCCUGGCAAGUGACGGGUGAAAGCCCUCGGCUCAACCGAGGAACUGCCUGUCAUACUGCCGGGCUUGAGUCCGGGAGAGGUGAGUGGAAUUCCCAGUGUAGCGGUGAAAUGCGUAGAUAUUGGGAGGAACACCAGUGGCGAAGGCGGCUCACUGGACCGGAACUGACGCUGAGGCGCGAAAGCGUGGGGAGCAAACAGG